rnacentral:rRNA from 1 species
CCAGGAGCGGGGCAAACCCGGGAACUGGGUAUAAUACCCGAUAGAUCUCGACUGCUGGAAUGCAUCGAGCUUGAAAGCUCCGGCGCUCAAGGAUGGGUCUGCGGCCUAUCAGGUAGUAGUGGGUGUAGCGUACCUACUAGCCUACGACGGGUACGGGUUGUGAGAGCAAGAGCCCGGAGAUGGAUUCUGAGACACGAAUCCAGGCCCUACGGGGUGCAGCAGGCGCGAAAACUUUACAAUGCUGGAAACAGCGAUAAGGGGACCUCGAGUGCCAGGUUACAAAUCUGGCUGUCGUGAUGCCUAAAAAGCAUUGCAUAGCAAGGGCCGGGCAAGACCGGUGCCAGCCGCCGCGGUAACACCGGCGGCUCGAGUGGUAACCGUUAUUAUUGGGUCUAAAGGGUCUGUAGCCGGCCGGAUAAGUCUCUUGGGAAAUCUGGCAGCUUAACUGUCAGGCUUUCAGGAGAUACUGUCUGGCUCGAGGCCGGGAGAGGUGAGAGGUACUUCAGGGGUAGGGGUGAAAUCUUGUAAUCCUUGAAGGACCACCAGUGGCGAAGGCGUCUCACCAGAACGGACCUGACGGCAAGGGACGAAAGCUAGGGGCACGAACCGGAUUAGAUACCCGGGUAGUCCUAGCCGUAAACGAUACUCGCUAGGUGUCGGCAACGGUGCGACCGUUGUCGGUGCCGUAGGGAAGCCGUGAAGCGAGCCACCUGGGAAGUACGGCCGCAAGGCUGAAACUUAAAGGAAUUGGCGGGGGAGCAC